AUUCUUUUUGAGAAAUGGUCUCGCUCUGUUGCCCAGGGUGGAGUGUAGUGGCGCUGUCAUAGCUCACUGCAACCCCGACCUCCUGGGCUCAAGCGAUUCUCCCGCCUCAGCCUCCCGACUAGCUGGGACCACAGGCGUGCAACCACCAUACCCGGAACCACAGUCACAGUCGGUCGCAGUGCCCGCUGGGAAAAUGCGACCGUCCACAAAGCGAAACGGCCAUCGGGGCGAGUUCGGCCUCGGCGGGGAUUCUCCUGAGGUCACGCCCGCUCUGGCCGCCAGAGGACGCCCGAGGAUCACGAAUGGGCCCGAGGAGCUGGCUGCCCCUUCCCACGCUCAAGGAAGAAGAAGAGAGACAGAGAGACCGGAGCACACGCAGCCAUCUCACCAUGUGAUGUGUUGUGGCACCUCAGGACUCUUCAGAGAGUCCCCACCAUCAAGAAGGCCCUCACCAGAUGCUGCCCCUUUACCUUGGACUUCUCAGCCUCCAUAA
rnacentral:lncRNA from 1 species